rnacentral:rRNA from 1 species
CGCAUACGUACUGAGGUAGAAAGUGGGGGACCUUCGGGCCUCACGCUAUUCGAGCGGCCGACGUCUGAUUAGCUAGUAGGUGAGGUAAAGGCUCACCUAGGCGACGAUCAGUAGCGGGUCUGAGAGGAUGAUCCGCCACACUGGGACUGAGACACGGCCCAGACUCCUACGGGAGGCAGCAGUGGGGAAUUUUGGACAAUGGGCGAAAGCCUGAUCCAGCCAUGCCGCGUGUCUGAAGAAGGCCUUCGGGUUGUAAAGGACUUUUGUCAGGGAGGAAAUCCCUAGCGUUAAUACCGCUGGGGGAUGACAGUACCUGAAGAAUAAGCACCGGCUAACUACGUGCCAGCAGCCGCGGUAAUACGUAGGGUGCGAGCGUUAAUCGGAAUUACUGGGCGUAAAGCGUGCGCAGGCGGUUAUGCAAGACAGAGGUGAAAUCCCCGGGCUCAACCUGGGAACUGCCUUUGUGACUGCAUAGCUAGAGUACGGUAGAGGGGGAUGGAAUUCCGCGUGUAGCAGUGAAAUGCGUAGAUAUGCGGAGGAACACCGAUGGCGAAGGCAAUCCCCUGGACCUGUACUGACGCUCAUGCACG